ACUACGGGCGGCAGCAGUGAGGAAUAUUGGUCAAUGGACGAGAGUCUGAACCAGCCAAGUCGCGUGAAGGAUGACUGCCCUAUGGGUUGUAAACUUCUUUUAUAAAGGAAUAAAACGAGGCACGUGUGCCUUUUUGCAUGUACUUUAUGAAUAAGGAUCGGCUAACUCCGUGCCAGCAGCCGCGGUAAUACGGAGGAUCCGGACGUUAUCCGGAUUUAUUUGGGUUAAAAGGUGCGGAGUGGGGUUGUUAAGUUCAGUGUUAAAGUUUGGGGCUUAACCGUAAAAGUGCAAUUGAUACUGGAAGUCUUGAGUACAGUUGAGGUAGGCGGAAUUAGUGGUGUAGCGGUGAAAUGCUUAGAUAUUACGAAGAACCCCGAUUGCGAAGGCAGCUUACUAAACUGUGACUGACAUUGAUGCUCGAAAGUGUGGGUAUCAAACAGGAUUAGAUACCCGUGUAGUC
rnacentral:rRNA from 1 species